rnacentral:rRNA from 1 species
AGAACGUCCUACGGGAGGCAGCAGUGGGGAAUAUUGCACAAUGGGGGAAACCCUGAUGCAGCGACGCCGCGUGAGUGAUGAAGUAUUUCGGUAUGUAAAGCUCUAUCAGCAGGGAAGAUAAUGACGGUACCUGACUAAGAAGCACCGGCUAAAUACGUGC